GAUGAACGCUGGCGGCGUGCCUAAUACAUGCAAGUCGAGCGAACAGACGAGGAGCUUGCUCCUCUGACGUUAGCGGCGGACGGGUGAGUAACACGUGGAUAACCUACCUAUAAGACUGGGAUAACUUCGGGAAACCGGAGCUAAUACCGGAUAAUAUAUUGAACCGUAUGGUUCAAUAAUGAAAGACGGUUUUGCUGUCACUUAUAGAUGGAUCCGCUCUGCAUUAGCUAGUUGGUAAGGUAACGGCUUACCAAGGCGACGAUGCGUAGCCGAUCUGUGGGGGGGAUCGGCCACGCUGGAACUGAGACACGGUCCAGGCUCCUACGGGAGGCAGCAGUAGGGAAGCUUCCGCGAUGGGCGAAAGCCUGACGGAGCAACGCCGCGUGAGUGAUGAAGGUCUUCGGAUCGUAAAACUCUGUUAUUAGGGAAGAACAAAUGUGUAAGUAACUAUGCACGUCUUGACGGUACCUAAUCAGAAAGCCACGGCUAACUACGUG
rnacentral:rRNA from 1 species